CCAGACUCCUACGGGAGGCAGCAGUGGGGAAUAUUGGACAAUGGGGGGAACCCUGAUCCAGCGACGCCGCGUGAGUGAAGAAGUAUUUCGGUAUGUAAAGCUCUAUCAGCAGGGAAGAAAGAAAUGACGGUACCUGACUAAGAAGCCCCGGCUAACUACGUGCCAGCAGCCGCGGUAAUACGUAGGGGGCAAGCGUUAUCCGGAUUUACUGGGUGUAAAGGGAGCGUAGACGGCAGUGCAAGUCUGAAGUGAAAGGCGGGGGCCCAACCCCCGGACUGCUUUGGAAACUGUGCUGCUGGAGUGCAGGAGGGGCAGGCGGAAUUCCUAGUGUAGCGGUGAAAUGCGUAGAUAUUAGGAGGAACACCAGUGGCGAAGGCGGCCUGCUGGACUGCAACUGACGUUGAGGCUCGAAGGCGUGGGGAGCAAACAGGAUUAGAUACCCGUGUAA
rnacentral:rRNA from 1 species